CACACGCUCCCUUAGAUCCACCUUUGGGGUAUGUGUGCCAGAGUUGAGUUCCACUGGAGUAUCUGAUUAUUUAGAGCUGUAGUGGUUCCAGCUUGGUGAUUAUCCAGCAACUUGUGGUUGCACAGUCAAAGGUGCUUGAGUCAUUGGCGUGUGAGAGUAAUAAACCUGCUUAUUAGCCCACUGUUCUUAUGUUCAUGGCUUGUGUUAAUCGCUUGCCCUAGUUUAACAUCUGGACUUGGCUGGUAUGCGGACACU